rnacentral:rRNA from 1 species
AACGAACGCUGGCGGCAGGCCUAACACAUGCAAGUCGAGCGAACCCUUCGGGGUUAGCGGCGGACGGGUGAGUAACGCGUGGGAACGUGCCCCUUUGCUACGGAAUAGCCCCCGGGAAACUGGGAGUAAUACCGUAUGUGCCCUUCGGGGGAAAGAUUUAUCGGCAAAGGAUCGGCCCGCGUUGGAUUAGGUAGUUGGUGGGGUAAUGGCCUACCAAGCCGACGAUCCAUAGCUGGUUUGAGAGGAUGAUCAGCCACACUGGGACUGAGACACGGCCCAGACUCCUACGGGAGGCAGCAGUGGGGAAUCUUAGACAAUGGGCGCAAGCCUGAUCUAGCCAUGCCGCGUGAUCGAUGAAGGCCUUAGGGUUGUAAAGAUCUUUCAGUGGGGAAGAUAAUGACUGUACCCACAGAAGAAGCCCCGGCUAACUCCGUG